GAAAUGCGAUAAGUAAUGUGAAUUGCAGAAUUCAGUGAAUCAUCGAAUCUUUGAACGCACCUUGCGCUCCCUGGUAUUCCGGGGAGCAUGCCUGUUUGAGUGUCAUGGAAUUCUCAACUUCUAAUACUUUUUUGUAUCAGAAGCUUGGAUUUGGAGGCUCGUGCUGGCUCUCUCGUUAGAGUCGGCUCCUCUUAAAUGAAUUAGCGUGAAUCACUAUGGAUCGCUUCGGUGUGAUAAUUAUCUGCGCCGUAGUCGUGAAGUAUUAAUAAAAGUUCUCGCUUCUAAUCGUCCUUCACGGGACAAUUAACCCUGACUUUUUGACCUCAAAUCAGGUAGGACUACCCGCUGAACUUAA
rnacentral:rRNA from 1 species